UACGCAGGGUGCGAGCGUUGUCCGGAAUUAUUGGGCGUAAAGGGCUCGUAGGCGGUUUGUCGCGUCGGGAGUGAAAUCCACUGGCUUAACUGGUGGCUUGCUUUCGAUACGGGCAGACUGGAGGUAUGCAGGGGAGAACGGAAUUCCUGGUGUAGCGGUGAAAUGCGCAGAUAUCAGGAGGAACACCGGUGGCGAAGGCGGUUCUCUGGGCAUGUCCUGACGCUGAGGAGCGAAAGUGUGGGGAGCGAACAGG
rnacentral:rRNA from 1 species